AUGUUGAAACACUGGCUCUUAUACAAUCACAGAAGUUAAGCAAUAUUGAGCCAGGUCAGUACUUAGAUGGGUGUCCACUUGAGAAUACAGGUACUGUAAG